rnacentral:rRNA from 1 species
GAAGGAUCAUUACCUAGAGUUUGUAGACUUCGGUCUGCUACCUCUUACCCAUGUCUUUUGAGUACCUUCGUUUCCUCGGCGGGUCCGCCCGCCGAUUGGACAACAUUCAAACCCUUAGCAGUUGCAAUCAGCGUUUGAAAAAACAUAAUAGUUACAACUUUCAACAACGGAUCUCUUGGUUCUG